GUGCUCGCUUCGGCAGCACAUAUACUGAAACUCGAACGAUACAGAGAAGAUUAGCAGGCCCCUGUGCAAGGAUGGCACGCAAAUAUGUGAAGCGUUCCAUAUAAAA
rfam:Pongo abelii chromosome 15.